rnacentral:rRNA from 1 species
GGAACCUGGCGGAAGG